rnacentral:rRNA from 1 species
AGCUGGUUGAUAGGCCGCAGGUGUAAGGGGGGCAACCCCUUGAGCUGAGCGGUACUAAUCGGUCGAGGGCUUGACCUUUCU